rnacentral:rRNA from 1 species
UUAAUUUGAGAGUUUGAUCCUGGCUCAGGACGAACGCUGGCGGCGUGCCUAAUACAUGCAAGUCGAACGAACUCUGGUAUUGAUUGGUGCUUGCGUCAUGAUUUGCAUUUGAGUGAGUGGCGAACUGGUGAGUAACACGUGGGAAACCUGCCCAGAAGCGGGGGAUAACACCUGGAAACAGAUGCUAAUACCGCAUAACAACUUGGACCGCAUGGUCCGAGUUUGAAAGAUGGCUUCGGCUAUCACUUUUGGAUGGCCCCGCGGCGUAUUAGCUAGAUGGUGGGGUAACGGCUCACCAUGGCAAUGAUACGUAGCCGACCUGAGAGGGUGAUCGGCCACAUUGGGACUGAGACACGGCCCAAACUCCUACGGGAGGCAGCAGUAGGGAAUCUUCCACAAUGGACGAAAGUCUGAUGGAGCAACGCCGCGUGAGUGAAGAAGGGUUUCGGCUCGUAAAACUCUGUUGUUAAAGAAGAACAUAUCUGAGAGUAACUGUUCAGGUAUUGACGGUAUUUAACCAGAAAGCCACGGCUAACUACGUGCCAGCAGCCGCGGUAAUACGUAGGUGGCAAGCGUUGUCCGGAUUUAUUGGGCGUAAAGCGAGCGCAGGCGGUUUUUUAAGUCUGAUGUGAAAGCCUUCGGCUCAACCGAAGAAGUGCAUCGGAAACUGGGAAACUUGAGUGCAGAAGAGGACAGUGGAACUCCAUGUGUAGCGGUGAAAUGCGUAGAUAUAUGGAAGAACACCAGUGGCGAAGGCGGCUGUCUGGUCUGUAACUGACGCUGAGGCUCGAAAGUAUGGGUAGCAAACAGGAUUAGAUACCCUGGUAGUCCAUACCGUAAACGAUGAAUGCUAAGUGUUGGAGGGUUUCCGCCCUUCAGUGCUGCAGCUAACGCAUUAAGCAUUCCGCCUGGGGAGUACGGCCGCAAGGCUGAAACUCAAAGGAAUUGACGGGGGCCCGCACAAGCGGUGGAGCAUGUGGUUUAAUUCGAAGCUACGCGAAGAACCUUACCAGGUCUUGACAUACUAUGCAAAUCUAAGAGAUUAGACGUUCCCUUCGGGGACAUGGAUACAGGUGGUGCAUGGUUGUCGUCAGCUCGUGUCGUGAGAUGUUGGGUUAAGUCCCGCAACGAGCGCAACCCUUAUUAUCAGUUGCCAGCAUUAAGUUGGGCACUCUGGUGAGACUGCCGGUGACAAACCGGAGGAAGGUGGGGAUGACGUCAAAUCAUCAUGCCCCUUAUGACCUGGGCUACACACGUGCUACAAUGGAUGGUACAACGAGUUGCGAACUCGCGAGAGUAAGCUAAUCUCUUAAAGCCAUUCUCAGUUCGGAUUGUAGGCUGCAACUCGCCUACAUGAAGUCGGAAUCGCUAGUAAUCGCGGAUCAGCAUGCCGCGGUGAAUACGUUCCCGGGCCUUGUACACACCGCCCGUCACACCAUGAGAGUUUGUAACACCCAAAGUCGGUGGGGUAACCUUUUAGGAACCAGCCGCCUAAGGUGGGACAGAUGAUUAGGGUGAAGUCGUAACAAGGUAGCCGUAGGAGAACCUGCGGCUGGAUCACCUCCUUUCUAAGGAA